CUGCCAGGUGGCGGGCGGCCGCGGCCUGGUUCUCGUCCAGGCCCUGGUAGUCGCUGCGACGGUUCUGUUCGGCCUGGUCGUC
rnacentral:tRNA from 1 species